rnacentral:lncRNA from 1 species
GACGUCUAUCCCCCUUCUGGGAAUGUCGAACUCAAUUUUCUGUGGAAUGUCGAUCCUGACCUUCUGUUUUGAAGGUUUCGAAUUCCUAGGUAAAUGUCGACGUCUAUCCCCCUUCUGGGAAUGUCGAACUCAAUUUUCUGUGGAAUGUCGAUCCUGACCUUCUGUUUUGAAGGUUUCGAAUUCCUUGGUGAAUGUCGACGUCUA